rnacentral:rRNA from 1 species
UACGUAGGGCGCAAGCGUUGUCCGGAAUUAUUGGGCGUAAAGAGCUCGUAGGCGGUGUGUCACAUCGGCCGUGAAAACCUGCAGCUUAACUGUGGGCGUGCGGUCGAUACGGGCAUCACUGGAGUUCGGCAGGGGAGACUGGAAUUCCUGGUGUAGCGGUGAAAUGCGCAGAUAUCAGGAGGAACACCGGUGGCGAAGGCGGGUCUCUGGGCCGAUACUGACGCUGAGGAGCGAAAGCGUGGGGAGCAAACAGG